AGUGAACGCUAGCGGCGCGCCUAAUACAUGCAAGUCGACCGAAGCUUCGAGCUGAGGGGCGGACGGCUGAGGAACACGUUGGAACCUACCUUGUACUCAGGGAUAACUCAGGGAAACCUGGGCUAAUACCGGAUAGUCUCGUAAGAGUAAAGCUCUCGCGGUACAAGAGGGGCCUGCGGCCUAUCAGUUUGUUGGUAAGGUAAUGGCUUACCAAGACUAUGACGGGUAACUGGUCUGAGAGGACGACCAGUCAGAAUGGGACUGAGACACGGCCCAU
rnacentral:rRNA from 1 species